AGGUUAUAUCAAAAACUCUGUGAAACAUGUGUAUGCGUAAGGCUAUACGGUCAUGUGCUUCUGUCACUUGAGUCGGAUACAGGCUUGUGGGAUACUUCAAGUUUAGACUUUGCGGAGGUAGGUAACCAAUCCGCAGAAGGAGUUAAAUGACUCCAACAGAAAACAGAAUGGCGCUUGAGUGUUUUGCAAUCAAAAAGCAACGUCUUGUCGCUUCCAUAAUAGACGCCCCUGUGGGGAAGAACCGAGAACACCUAACCGGGUGGUGCCGAGUAGGAGAAAGCUCGGAAUACCAACAAGGAAGUUUGCAGUUGCGGUGACGUAAGUUGCCUAUAAGACAAGGUCGGUGUGCGAGUAGCCCAAAUCUGCAACGAUUUUAACAGAUGAGUAUUUUAAUAUUUGGAAAUAUGUAAUCUUCUGAAUAGUGGGUGAAAGUUGCGGGUAAGCAAUCCCGCGGUAGAGCUGGCAAUUAUGCUGGGGUAAGAAGCUAUGGGGUCGCUCCCUAUGGUUCAGACUUAUCUCCUACGUGGCUGAAUAUUGGGGCAUUACACAAGAGUAAGGCGAAAGUCUCUCAUAGUUUUUGAUGUAGC
rnacentral:sRNA from 12 species